UACGGGGGGGGUAAGCGUUGUUCGGAAUUACUGGGCGUAAAGGGCUCGUAGGCGGCCAACUAAGUCAGACGUGAAAUCCCUCAGCUUAACUGGGACUGCGUCUGAUACUGGAUGGCUUGGAUUCGGGAGAGGAAUGCGGAAUUCCAGGUGUAGCGGUGGAAAUGCGUAGAUAUCUGGAGGAACACCGGUGGCGAAGGCGGCAUUCUGGACCGAUAUUGACGCUGAGGAGCGAAAGCCAGGGGAGCAAACGGGG
rnacentral:rRNA from 1 species